UACAGAGGGUGCAAGCGUUAAUCGGAAUUACUGGGCGUAAAGGGUGCGUAGGUGGUUAGGUAAGUUAAGUGUGAAAGCCCCGGGCUCAACCUGGGAAUGCCGCUUAAUAACUGCCUAACUAGAGUAUUGUAGAGGAAAGUGGAAUUUCCGGUGUAGCGGUGAAAUGACGUAGAUAUCGGAAGGAACAUCAGUCGGCGAAGGCGACUUUCUGGACAAAUACUGACACUGAGCACGAAAGCAUGGGGAGCAAACAG
rnacentral:rRNA from 1 species